CCUGUUUCUAGAGGCAUUGCAGGUGUGGCUGCUGUGUUAUGUGUGUGUAGUGGCAGGGAAAAGAAGAGGCUGUGUCUAAGCCUCCUCUUCUUACCUGAACUCAUUUGAAUGUUUAGCAACCUAAUAUU